rnacentral:rRNA from 1 species
GACGAACGCUGGCGGCGUGCUUAAAACAUGCAAGUCGAACGGACUUCUCAUGAAGCUUGCGAUUGAGAAGUUAGUGGCGGACGGGUGAGUAACGCGUGGGCAACCUGCCCCUGAGCCCGGGAUAACAGUUCGAAAGGACUGCUAAGACCGGAUAUACUUGCGGGGAAGCAUUUCACUGCAAGGAAAGGGAACGCUCAGGGAUGGGCCCGCGUCCCAUUAGCUAGUUGGUGAGGUAACGGCCCACCAAGGCGACGAUGGGUAGCCGGCCUGAGAGGGUGAACGGCCACACUGGGACUGAGACACGGCCCAGACUCCUACGGGAGGCAGCAGUUGGGAAUCUUCGGCAAUGGGCGCAAGCCUGACCGAGCAACGCCGCGUGAGUGAUGAAGGUUUUCGGAUUGUAAAGCUCUGUCUUCCGGGACGAUAAUGACGGUACCGGAGGAGGAAGCCACGGCUAACUACGUGCCAGCAGCCGACGGUAAAAGUGUGUGUA